rnacentral:lncRNA from 1 species
UUCUUGUUUUACACUGUGUCAGAAGAAUGACAGGCACUGUACAGAAGAAAUAYAAGCCUCUGUCCUCCAGAUGCAGGUGAGAUGGUCAUCCAAGAGAAAGAUUUGGUGAUAGUCACCUUGCAAAGACAUCAUCUGAAGGCUGCAGCUGUAUGACAAGAGAGAGAGUUGAACAUUUACCAUGACUCAAGAUUUACAUUGUGGUGAACUGGAUGAAGCCAAUUUCUUAAGUCUGAUGCCUGCCUCAGAACUUACUUUUGCACUUAAACUGAAACUGGGAGAGACAAGCCUUCUGUGGCUAUCACACAACCAGACUGACAGCUUUGAAAAUUUGCUUAAAAACAAAUCCUCAGUGCCUCAGGCAAUCUGGACACCGACACCAAUGGCUAGG